AGGACGAACGCUGGCGGCGUGCUUAACACAUGCAAGUCGAGCGACGCUCCUCCUUCGGGAGGAUGACGGAGCGGCGAACGGGUGAGUAACACGUGGGCAACCUGCCCCUAGCUCUGGGAUAACCCCGGGAAAUCGGGACUAAUACCGGAUAUGAAGUCGGACGGCAUCGUCUGACUUGGAAAGUUUUUCGGCUAGGGAUGGGCCCGCGGCCUAUCAGCUUGUUGGUGGGGUAAUGGCCUACCAAGGCGACGACGGGUAGCCGGCCUGAGAGGGCGACCGGCCACACUGGGACUGAGACACGGCCCAGACUCCUACGGGAGGCAGCAGUGGGGAAUAUUGCACAAUGGGCGAAAGCCUGAUGCAGCGACGUCGCGUGGGGGACGAAAUCGUUUCGGAUGUAAACCCCUUUACCGAGGGAAGAAGAAAUGACGGUACCUGGUGAAUAAGCCCGGACUAACUACGUGCCAGCAGCCGC
rnacentral:rRNA from 1 species